UGUGCUCUAGUGCCCGGAACCGUGCAACGCGUGCAGUCUUUCUUAAAGACUUAGCCCGAUUGCAUAAACAACUUGGGCCCAACAAUGGCUUUAUCUAACCACAUAUGGUUAGAUUGGUAUGCAGGUUGAAUAUAUUGUUUUUAAUAUGCAGUAUCAAUAGAAGUGCUGGGUGGAAUACCAGGAAGUGGAGUUGCAGGUCCAGCUGUGUGAGCUGGUUGCAUAGUUGCGCCACGGACGUACAGCAAAAUGAUGUUGUUAAAGUGCAAAUGGUAAGUGGCAGCAUCAUGAUGUUGCCUUUAGGGAGACGAAUGCUGCACGAGGAGCGCGGACUCUCAGCAAAACAUUGCCUUUUGUUUAACGGCUGCAUUAAACUAAAAAUAACUCUUUCUAAGUAUGACACCGACUUGUCGAUGCUCUAUUCCAGCUUAUGAUUUAUCGGUUGUACGACAAUAAAACACGUAUUCAACUUAGUUAGAGGUUCAAUUCCAAUGGAAACAAGCCCUAAACAAAAAUGUGCAAAGCUGUUUAUACAAAAUUAUGACCAACCCUUCUCAAAUGAAGGGUAUGCGGACGUCCACAUAGACAACCCGUAAUCAAAAUCACGCACGCAUACAAACCACACACACACACACACACACAUGAGAAACUAAACAGCAUCCGUUGGGGUAGGUGGUGGGCUUUGAGCGAAAGAGUAUCAGGAACGGCGACAGCGAUGUCGGUGGCAACAGCGCGCGGCAUUAAGCACGUCGGCAACAUAAAUAUUUUAAUUUUGCUAAAAAUUUGUGCUGAAAAGUCGCUUUUUUGUAUUAGGAAGUGCGAGGCGAAGACACAAACAUGCACACACACAUACACACACGCGCGCGGAGCAUUAACUAAACAAAAUGGCGUCGACGAAAGGAUGCGCAACGCAGCGCAGCGUUCGUAAUUGUUGUUGUUGCUGCUGUGGUUGCUGCCUGCCAGGGCGGUGCUGGUAAUGAUAAGCGUUGUUAGUGUUUUACUUUAAUAGGCAAAAUUAUGUGCACACGGACACAGACACAGACACAUAGACACGCAUGUAGACACUAGCACACUCUCAUACAAAGGCUUUGACUCAAACACGGCUCAAAGGCAUAAAUUAUUGCGGUUAACAGACAACACAGCAGAGGACAUAGCGGUAGCAGCAGUGGGAGCAGUAGCAGCAGCAGCUUCCGUUGCAGGAACUGAAUCUCUCGCCGUGGACGGAAAUGCCGCUGGCUGCGCUGUGCCGAGCUUUAACCAAAUUAAAAUAGUGUCGGCCUGGCCUAAAUGCAGCUUCCUCGUGCCAUUUCCAGCAAUAUAAUGAGUCAAAUUUAACUUAACCAUUGCAACGAGUAUUCUCCUUUGGCCACGAAUGGUGCUACGCAUUCAAGAUCUUUGAAAAUCAUAGUGAAGCCUAUCCAAUGUUGCGCGAAAAAGUUUCAAAUUUUCCGCCAAAUAUCCAUUAGGUCAGUAUAAAAACCUACCUUUUGUUCUAUGAUUCGCAGGGCAUAACAUAUAAAACCGCAAUUGUUUUUAUUUUAUAAUUUAUUUAUUUUUUAUGUUUCCCUAUGCUAUAUAAUCCCCCUGCCGUGUAUAAUUUACUGAUUUCACAAUUGUUUCUUUUCCGGUCGCACACACAUCCCGAUAUUGUCCGUUCCAGCAUUUCGGGAAACAUGCAUUAAGAAGAUGGUAAUAUCAUUUUUUUUUUGGACGAGUUUCCAGAGCCUGCCAUUGAUGUUGCGAUGUGAGGAUGUUUGCCAUAUGUAUGUGAUAUGUAUGCCAUAUGCAUUAAUAGUAUGAAAACUAUUGUUUCUGCAAAUAUCUUGACCAAAUUAAUUAUUGGAAUGUAGCUGCCGCCAAUUAUGAUUGCCGCUAAUUAAAAGGAAAAAUAACAUAUGAGGUAAUCCAAAAUUAUUAUAUUGUACUGUUAGAUAUAAUUACAGAGUAAUACGAACUGGUAAUUUGCGAGUAUAUUACUGAUGUCUUGUAUAAGAGGUUGCCCUUUAUGUUUCGAUAUUCUUUCCAAUAACUUAGAUUCUAGAAAUUUGAAGUUAUAAGCAGGUUCCAUUGCAUCUGUUUAUUGAAGCGAAGCACGUCUUUGUGCAGUCACCUUAAAUACGGCAUACAAAAUUCCGAUGCUGACGGCAAGUAUUAUUAGAAUUUUAAGCGCACAGCCUAAAAUGGAGGAAUCGUGCCCAUGAAGCGACAUCGGACAGAAAUCGUAAUGAUGCGAAUAGUGCACAUCAUGACAGUGAUCUCCAGAGAACAUAUGCCUCCAUGCCCUCUGUGGUAGUUCCAAUAGUACAUAAAUUCUGGAUUUUUGCCGAAAA